ensembl:lncRNA
CAGUGUGACACUUCCUCCCCCUUCCCCCAAGCUGAACUGUUAGCAAUGGAGUCAGUCUGGCUAGACUAAAGGAGGCUAAUGACCUUGUCAGCUGGGAAAUGGAACUAUUGGUAACUCCUUGGAAGUAAUGGUCACCCUUGACCCUAAUCCAGGAGCUUCGGAAUCCAGGAAGCCCAAAGAAUCCAGACAGCCUCAGCCAACAAACUCUUGAUCAUCUUUUAAGCAGAGAAUGGUGUCAGUUUGCCAAAGGUUCCAGAUGGCAAUGAUAUUCUACCUUUGGAAUGACACGAUUGUUGAACAAUACCAGAAGCUCUGCAGUCAUCUACUCGUUUCUAUUCCAGUGCAAUAUACUGGCAUUCUGGUCUUAUUUUUCCUUGCAAAACCCUGGGAUUUGGGGCUAGGUGAAUUGUACGUGAAGUUGCACAGUAGAAUCCAAUAAUCCUUAAAAUCCUUGAACACAGGGCUUUGGCGAUGCCUUUUGUUAAGUACUGUUUCAAAAAAAGACAAGUCUCAAUGGCAUUAAACAGUUGUUCUGGUAGGUAAUAUUUUUUUUCUCAAACAUUGUUUUCAACACGUUCUGAAACCAGCAGCAACUGUAGCAUCAACAUAACCAGUUUCACCAGGAAAUUUCAUAUUUUUAAAACCAUAGCUUAAAACGAUAAACCCAGCCUUGGCUAACUACAAAAGGAUUUGCAUUUUCUUGGCCCUUUAUUACAUGCCUCUACCUUUGUUGGACCUUCAAUAGCAACCACACUUUUUUGUUCCUCCACCAUUUCAUUUGCCCCUAAACUUAGAUGUUUUUCCAUUUUUAAAGUUCUCUUGUAUACUUAAAAGGUUGCUCUAGCACUUUCUGGAGUGGAUUCUCAAAUACUUUAAUCUACUUAAAAUUUUUAUUUAUUUAGAAAAAAACCUUGUUCCCUUCCUACUUAGAAUCAAUGCUGUGUAUUGGUUCCAAGGCAAAAGAAUAGUAAGGACUAGGCAAUGGGGAUUAAGUGACUUGCCCAGGAUCACACAGGUAGGAAAUAUGUGAGGUCAGAUUUGUAACCAUAACAAACACUUUUAUGAAGUUUCCUUCUUUUUGUUCUCACUAAGCCUCAUCACUGACUUUGCGUGCUUCAGCUUAGAGCCUAAAGGACUUACACGUUCUUUGGGGGCAUGAUUACAACACAAAACUUGAGUUUUAAAGGCAAACAAUGAAAAUAUACAGCAAAUGCACAGGAAGGGUCUUUAAAACAACAGAGUGGUUGAGACCAAUGGAGCUCCUACCAGGAUACCAGCCACUCCAUAAACUUGUGGCAUCCUACCUCUCAUUUUUAUCUCUACUCCACAUAGCUGCAAAUGUGUGGGGUUGUCAAUGAAAGUGAAAAUGAGGUCAUGGAUACUUGAACUCUCCAAAGUUAAACCUCUGAAUGUUGAAGAUUGACAGUAGGUAGUUAUUUGGGGGAAAGAAUGGGAAUAAAGUCUCUAGAAGGGGGGACA